UCAUCUACACCGUUUAGGAUUAGAGCCUGAUUUUUAUCUCAUUCCAGGAGGGUCAUGAAUAAGGAAAGGCUGAAAUACUGGCAGAGCCCCUUGGUCAUACUUGCCAGGAGCAGACUCUCCAGAGAUCCCCUAACCUCCUUCACCAGCAAGGUCAAGAACAUCCUGAUGACUAAAACUUCAUGUAGCGGUCUGUUGAGAGCAGCUCUGCGCUCCACGUUUGUAGGAGGUGUCAGGACAUCAUGAAAAGUGCUUUCAAGGGAGCUUGAAAGCUGCAUGCUCCGAGGCUGGUGCAGCGAAUACCGAUACUUUGAAGUUUUGAAGAUGACUGACAUUUUGAAAGUUUGGAGUUUCAUCUUUUUUUAAUAACAUUUGAAUCAUUAUAUUUGUCAUAGGCAGGAACUUUUGAUCUUAGUGUCACAUGCUGGAUUGGUUUCCAUGGGAGAUGUCAUUAAAGGAAAGCUCCACAACCCUUUAGCUGUUGUCUGUCUCUACUGCCCGUGGACUCGUGUACAUAUUUAUACAGCUAGUCUGAUGGCAAGUUGUGAUCAGGGCUCCUGAUUAGCUAAGAGUUGCAUGCACGCCUCUUGUUAUGUAUGUUAUCCCACCUUCCCCUCUCCUGCCUUGACUGGCCUGCUUGCCUCUUUCAUGUUUUAUUUGGUCUUUAAACUGGAAUCAAUUUGGGGCAGAGACUGUUGUUUCCGAGGUUUAUACAGUACUUGGCUCAUUGAAGCCCAGCCUGCUCUGCCUUGAGGCACUACAGCAAUAUUUAAUCGCAUGCCAGAGUCUUUUGUUUAGUAGUUAUUCU